rnacentral:rRNA from 1 species
GACGAACGCUGGCGGCGUGCCUAAUACAUGCAAGUCGAACGCAGUGGGGACGGGUGAGUAACACGUGGGUAACCUCCCAUCAGAGGGGAUAACACUUGGAAACAGGUGCUAAACCGAUACUGAUGGAUGGACCCGCGGUGCAUUAGCUCGUUGGUGAGGUAACGGCUAACCAAGGCCACGAUGCAUAGCCGACCUGAUGGAGUGGUGGGCCACACUGGGACUGAGACACGACCCAGACUCCUACGGGAGGCAGCAGUAGGGAAUCUUCGGCAAUGGACAAAAGUCUGACCGAGCAACGCCGCGGUAGUGAAGAAGGUUGUCGGAUCGUAAAACGCUGUUGUGAGAGAAGCGGUAUCUAACCAGAAAGCCACGGCUAACUACGUGCCAGCCGCCGCGGUAAUAC